UUCCUUGAACAGUGUGCACUUGAGGAACGAAUUAAGACCCGUAAACAAGGAUGAAAGCCCCCGCCCCGCAGACUUCAGCUCCUCCUCCAUGAAGGACGCCGCCUGGGAGGUGAGUCCAGGCCGGGCCAGGGAGGGCCUCCUGUGGGAAGGUGCAUUUUCACCUUACAGCCGGGAAGUAGACAGCUGCGUCACAGUUUCACUCAUGCCGGUCUCUUCCUGUGCACAUUCAAUGUUAACAUUAUUCUGGCAAAAGCCUUGCUGCAGAUAGUCUCUCCGGUCCCUCCUACAUCUCUUUCCAGAAGACAGUUUAAAAGGACACAUUUCAUCACCUCUCAGAAGGGGUUAACAUCACAGAAUUCCAAGUCUGAGGGUGGAGCCCUGAUCCUGAGAAGGUUUUGUUGAGUUCGGGACAGUAUUUCUUUACCCAUCCUUCAUGAAGAUAAAAAAUGAGGCAAAAUAGACACUAAAAUGGUCUCUGACAUCUCCUCAUGCCACCAGACAAGGAGUAACCAUGGUAACAAGAAGCCUAGAAAAAUUGGGGAAUGAGGAAGACCAGGAAUGAGAGCUCCCCUCAGCCCUGGGGGGACCUGAGUGUCCACAGCUGAGCCUUCUCUGCUUCCCUUUUCUCUUCUGGAUUCUGAUGGAGGAUAUUUUCAUCUUCCUCCCAAAAUCAUCAGAAAGCAUAAGGACAUAUAUAAACCGCUUUGCAAAAAGAGAGUGUAUGGAAUAAAAGAGAAAAUGAAGAAGAGGAGAAAGGCUGGAGUGCAAUGGUGUGAUCUCAGCUCACUGCAGCCUCAACCUCCCUGGCUCAGGUGAUUCUCCCACCUCAGCUUCCUGAUUAACUGGGAUUACAGUAAUGGUGAAAUUGCCGGUAAUCGCUAAGUAAAAACCACUGAAGAACAGGACAGAAGCCAAUGACCACCUCACCUCCACCGAGUGCCCUGCAGAAAAAGGAAAUGGAAAUCCUUCCUGUUAUUCUCCGCGUCCCUUCGUAGAAGGCUGCCUGAGAGGUCAGCACAGGAGUCCUCUAAGUGCCCUGCAGAGAACACGGGUCUCGGAGCCGGACAAACCUAAAUUUUGAAACCCACUUUGAGUUUGAACUUGGCUGUGGGAAAGUUACACAAUCGCUCUAAGCCUCUGUUUUCUCAUCAGUAAAACAGAGAGGGGUUGCUUGUGUGAGAAGUGGCCGCUGCCAAUCAUCUGCGUGUCCUUCACUCUCCCAGGGGCCAUGGGUCUGUAUUCUACACAUGUGGGAUCUUCCUCUGGACCCUUCGGACAUGGUCCACACGCUGCCCUCAGGAUCUGCUGGGGUCUGCAUGGGGGGUGAGACGUGAACCCCAACCACGUUCACCACAGAGAGGAAACUGGGGGGAUGGAGGGGGGGACAAGGCCAGGUCACCUUCAGGUGCCGCCCGCCAGCAAGGCGGUUUGCACCCGGCUGAAUGAGCUUUAAAAAAGACAGUUUUUUCUGUAGUUUAGAAUCAUGGUUUCACUAAAUGGUGAAAUAAUUUUAUGCCACUUCCCCUACUAAUUACCAUCUCAUUGUUAUUAGAAAGGAUGGUUUCCUUGAAGUCUAGAAAAUUUUGUUCCAGUCCAUUUCAACGGUGCAGGAGAAACGUGGCUUCCAUUCCGAGGAAGACGGCGACACCUAGUGACCGUUCCCUCGCGGUGCGAUGGCCUCACACCUGUGCGGCGGGUCGUCCGGGGCGUAGGGUGCUGCGGCCUUGCGGUCUUCCCUGCGCUGCAAGGCAGGGCAUGGUGGCAGAUUAACACCUGGAUGAACACGGGCAGGUCAGGAGACAAAUAAAACCCAGAGGUCUUUGAAACUUCAAAAUCCCGUAGGGUGUGUGACCCCAGUGAGCCCCACGCUACAUCCAGCGAGAACCGAGAAGUGAUGGUGCAGACAUUCUUGGGUCCCCCAGACAGAACACACCGGGAGUUACUGCCUCUUUCUCAUCCCGAGUCCUCCUGACUUUCCCCAGCACCCAUCGUGGCUGCAGCCAGGACACAGGUAAAUGUAAUUUCCCUCCCCUUCCAUCCUCGCUUUCACAUCGGUGUGAUUGACUGAGGGCCUGCAGACUCUCUCCACGUGCGGGUGCCCUGCAGCCUGACACACAAAUGCGUUCAUCCUUCCCCUUUAUCCUGACCCCGAACUAAUGACGCAGCUUCCUGAGACACAGAGGAUGCUUCUCCUCGUCCCCCCUCGCGCUCUGAAGUGGGAAAAGAUGUGUUCCAUCUGUUCUGGAAUUUUCACUGUAAAGAAGAGAAUGAAUUUUAACUGUGUUUUUGACAUAUCCCUAAACAAGAAGUGGUUUAUAGAGUGAAACCAUUUUCCCUUCAUCUAAAAUUUAAAAAAAAAAAAAAAGAGAGAGAAAAGUGCAAGACUGAAGAUGUGUGUUGAGCGGGGUGAGGAAGCGUGGGGGACUCGGCGCUGGAGGAGCCCCGGGUGUGUUUAGGGUUUGUGGUCAGGGGCCCUGGGCACCAGGUCCAGUCUGAAGCACCCGGGGGGAUGGACGAUGUUUGUGUAAGAGAGGGACAAAGGGAUGGCAGGGUGGCCAAGCAGAGACGCGAUUCCCUCUGUGCCCUUCCUGGACCAGCUUUGUAUUCUAACAGCAACGUCUCUGUUCUUGGGAAGAGCUCCUCGGUGAUUACCUGCCCGCCCCUUGUCUCCUCUUAUUCCCGCUGCCACAGGGCAGGGCCGCCCAGCUCCAGCUCAGACACACACCUGCUCCAACUGCUGUGCUGGUCACAGGCCCAGAGCACCACGUGUCCUCUGGGGUCUGUGUGGUCGGCGCCGUGCGUGGGACCACUGUGAGUGACCCUCCUCUUGUGUCACAGAGCCACUGUACCCGUGUGCACCUGUGCUCUGAGACCUGGAUACCCCUGGAAGGACAGACACCGAGGACCCGAGUGCACUGGAGUCCCGCUCCCACAGAUCCUGCUGCUGGGAGAACUGUCAGCCAGGAACGGGACUGCGGUGGGGAAUUCCUUCUGUCAACACACUUUCUAAUCUAAGCUCCAGACUCCACUUCCAGACUAGCACAGGCUUUUUCCCCCACAUCUCCUUCUCUGCAGCCGGGGCUCCUGCCGGGUCUGCGGAGCCCAGAGCCAUGCUCUCUGCCGACUCCAUCUCCAGAUGCCUGCCCCGGCACCCACGCUGUUGCCAGGACACCAGUGAACCCAGACAGGGUGAGCAGGUUGCAGCAGGGUACCGGGAGGAAUGCCCGGCUGGCCCAUGUCUUGAAAUCAGUCUCAUUGAACAAUCCGGGAAAGAGAUGACCUAGCCUAUUCUAAGGCUAUCGAUGUGAAUUGGAUUCUUCCAUUUCCCCUGAAUUCUCUGAUUAAAAUGAUAAUUAUGCAAUA
rnacentral:lncRNA from 1 species